rnacentral:rRNA from 1 species
GUGUCAGCAGCCGCGGUAAUACCGGCGGCUCGAGUGGUGGCCACUAUUAUUGGGCUUAAAGCGUUCGUAGCUGGAUUGUUAAGUCUCUUGGGAAAUCUACCGGCUUAACCGAUAGGCGUCCAAGGGAUACUGGCAAUCUAGGGACCGGGAGAGGUGAGGGGUACUUCAGGGGUAGGAGUGAAAUCCUGUAAUCCUUGGGGGACCACCUGUGGCGAAGGCGCCUCACCAGAACGGCUCCGACAGUGAGGGACGAAAGCUGGGGGAGCAAACCGGAUUAGAUACCCCAGUAGUCC